rnacentral:lncRNA from 1 species
CUCCGCCGCCCUGGGGGCCGCGCGGAUGGAGGCGCGAGGGCGGGAGCCGGCCGUGGAGCCGCCGCCCCCGUCCUUCUAAGCGCCCGGCGGGACGCGAACCGCGGCCUCCGGGCCCUGGGGCCCCGCGCGCGCUGCGGGGCUGGCGCGGUCCCCGCGGAGGCCGGGAGGGGACGAAGGCCGGCUCCACCUCUGGGGCCUGAAUAUAUGUGCACACUGAAUUCUGCUACCGCUGGAUCCCGCUUUUGGUUCCUGCUCGUUGUCCAGCUAUGUGUGGGAUAGAAUCACAUCUGAGAAGCAGGCUUUACCCACCUGUGGCAACCCGAGUCGUGUACAUCCUGGCACUGCUGGCUAGAACCUGCAGAGCUGUCUUCACCUGAUGACACACACCUGUUCUUGGCACCAUUAGGGUAAGAACCAGCACAAGUGGUUGGAAGGGUGUAAAUGCAAGGUUAGGGAAUGGGGCUCAAGCAAUGUGGAGAAGCGCGUGUUGGCAUACGAGGCUGGGGGGUGGCCAGGGGAACCUUCUGUGUC